CCUACGGGUGGCUGCAGUGGGGAAUAUUGCACAAUGGGGGAAACCCUGAUGCAGCAACGCCGCGUGAGUGAUGAAGGCUUUCGGGUUGUAAAACUCUGUCCUCAGGGAAGAUAAUGACGGUACUUGAGGAGGAAGCCCCGGCUAACUACGUGCCAGCAGCCGCCGGAAUAAGUAGGGGGCCCGCGUUAUACGGCUUUACUGGGUGUAAAGGGUGCGUAGGCGGUUUUUUAAGUCCGGAGUGAAAGGCCGCCGCCUAACCCCAGGACUGCUUUUGAAACUGGGAGACUUGAGUGCAGGAGAGGAGAGUGGAAUUCCUAGUGUAGCGGUGAAAUGCGUAGAUAUUAGGAGGAACACCAGUGGCGAAGGCGGCUUGCUGGACUGUAACUGACGCUGAGGCACGAAAGCGUGGGGAGCAAACAGGAUUAGAUACCCUAGUAGUC
rnacentral:rRNA from 1 species